GUCAAUUCUGAAGAGGAUGGUACUUGAACUGGCAGUUGGGGAAGAGCGUCUUCUAAGAAACCUGGCUUGUAUUUAAAGCAUUGGUUCUCUCAUCAUUGCAACACAGAGUCUCAGCUGAUCUUGAAUGGAAACCACAGCCUGAUUCUUCAAGGAUGCGUGUCCUCUAGACAAAGAAGUGGGGAACGAGGAAUGUGGUGCUCUUGGAGGAAGCACAAUACAUGAACAAUGGCAGGACUUGCAGUAACCUGGCCCAUUUUGUGCUGAGACAAAGAGGGAAUCGCAUUAAUCGUCUGAAGGCACCUCGCUGAGUGCCUACAGAGAAGACCAAGUCUCCGGAAGUUUAAGUUAAUGCCUACAAUUACACAGCUAACAAGUUCCAGAGUAAGGAUGCUCACCUAGGAUGAGCCAACAGUCUUGGCCAAGAUAGAAAGAACAAAUUUGGUGGAGGGGAAGCAGAGGAAGUGUCCGGUAGAGUCAGAGAUGGGGAGCACCAUAGUGGAGGAGGCACUGGGCAGACCUGUGGUAGGAGGAGAACUCGGGCAGGUAGAACUGAGAAUGGAGGGUUGAGAAAGAACAGGGUAUUCUACAAGGAGGCGCAAAGAUCUGGAGAGACGACACCUAUGUGGGGCACAGGGGGCUCCAUUGGCAGUGCCCUCCAGCCAGUGGGUGUGAGAGAGGAGACAGGAUGCAUAGACACUACAAACCACUCAAGUCUAUCAAACUCAUGACAGUUUUGGGUUCGGGACAUUUCUCUGGAAAACCACUAGUGAGGCUGAGUAGAAGCAGGAGCCCAGGAGGCAGAAACCAUUGGUGAUAUGGUCAAUUAAUGUUAAUAGCAAUAGUGAGAAGAGGAAGAAGAGAAGAAAGAAGAGAGGG
rnacentral:lncRNA from 1 species